GACGAACGCUGGCGGCGUGCUUAACACGUGCAAGUCGAACGGUGAAGCGCCUUCCUUUUUGGUGGGUGUGGAUGAGUGGCGAACGGGUGAGUAACACGUGAGUAACCUGCCCCCUUCUUCUGGAUAACCGCAUGAAAGUGUGGCUAAUACGGGAUAUUCUGGGUCUGUCGCAUGAUGGGUCUGGGAAAGAUAUUGUUUCGGUGGGGGAUGGGCUCGCGGCCUAUCAGCUUGUUGGUGGGGUGAUGGCCUACCAAGGCGGUGACGGGUAGCCGGCCUGAGAGGGUGGACGGUCACACUGGGACUGAGACACGGCCCAGACUCCUACGGGAGGCAGCAGUGGGGAAUAUUGCACAAUGGGAGCAGGCCUGAUGCAGCGACGCCGCGUGAGGGAUGGAGGCCUUCGGGUUGUGAACCUCUUUCGCCAGUGAAGCAGGCCUGCCUCGUUUGUGGGUGGGUUGACGGUAGCUGGAUAAGAAGCGCCGGCUAACUACGUG
rnacentral:rRNA from 1 species